UUGACAUGGAGGAUUUUUGCUGGGUUUUGGAGAGAAGUAUUUAGGAAGAGGUUAGCAGAGAAGGGAAUAGAGAAAAAUGGGAACUAGAGAAAAUGAGGGAUUUUGGGCUGAGUGUUUGUGAGAGAUGGGGUGAGUUGUGAGUAGCAAGGAGGAAGAAAAUUUAUCGAUCUUUGGAGAAUAAGAGGAACACCUUUAGACUCUCCUACAAGAGAGACAAGCAGGAAUGAGAAGAGCUCCCUGUUGUUCUAAGGUGGGUUUGCAGAGAGGGCCAUGGACAGCUGACUAUAUUCGAGCACACGGCCAAGGCAAUUGGAGAUCUUUGCCUAAGAAAGCUUGACUGAUUAGGUGUGGAAAAAGCUGCAGACUAAGAUGGAUGAACUACCUUCGGCCCGAUGUCAAGAGAGCUGGUAAUAUCACAGCUGAUGAAGACGAUCUUAUCAUCUGGCUUCAUUGUUCCUUGGGGAACCGGUGGUCGCUCAUUGCUGGAAAGCAUCCAGGGCGUACCGAUAACGAGAUAAUGAACUACUGGAAUUGCCAUCUCAGUAAGAGAUUGAUUGAAGCACAAGGGCAAAAACACAAAAGAGCCCAGCAUAAUAAACAACAAGAAUAGUAAAAUCUACCGGGCCAAAGCCCUUUAGGGUUACCUCGCCCUCAAUAAUUACAAGGAACAACAGUUCUGAUAGUUUGACGAGCAGGUCAGCCAAUGACACUGCCACUGCCCAAGAAGAUAUAUAAAAGGAUCAUUAGCUAGUACAGGAGCCCCGGCCCGGUCUGCCAUGGCCUCAGGCUGGCAGAGCAGGUGAUGCAGGGGGUGUUUUAGUUGACAAUGAUCAAAAUGAUAUUGGGUCUGAACCUUCUUCCCAAUAUGAUCCAAUACCCUAAAAAAAACAACUAGUUUGAAAAGCUUUAUCAGGAGUAUCUACAACUUUUAAUGGCGGAUGAUAAUGUUGCAGUGGAAUUGCCAUCUGCUUAACUGAUUCGUGGCGGCAUUGAAGUGAUUAUGGUCAGUUAGUUUAUCAUGUAUUUUUCCUUAAUUUUCAUGCAAUAAUAUUCUUUGAA